rnacentral:lncRNA from 1 species
GGGUGGUUUGUUCAUCUCUGUUGACUCUUUAGAUUUAUCUAGAUCCUCAAACUUGGUCUGAUCGAUCACUUGCUCAUGAGGUGGUUUAGACAAUGGCUCAUCUUGAUCUUCAGGUGUACCGACAUGGUUGUCUACUUAUUUUUCAGACCUUAAAGUGUGAAUUGCAUUUAAUUGAUUGAUCUGGGCUCUUUGUUAUGGUCCUUGAUUAUUCUGGAUCUUAAGAUUAGCCUCGGAUUGACUCGGUAGUUUAUCUUUUUCUCUUUCACUUACAACCAAGGCUAAUUGACCUAAUUACAUCUCUAAACAGGUAAUAGCCUAGGUGUUGGAAGUUAAAAGCUGGCCUGUGGUGUGCAUAAAGUU